UACGUAGGGUGCAAGCGUUAAUCGGAAUUACUGGGCGUAAAGCGUGCGCAGGCGGCUUUGCAAGACAGAUGUGAAAUCCCCCGGGCUCAACCUGGGAACUGCAUUUGUGACUGCAUGGCUGGAGUGCGGCAGAGGGGGAUGGAAUUCCGCGUGUAGCAGUGAAAUGCGUAGAUAUGCGGAGGAACACCGAUGGCGAAGGCAAUCCCCUGGGCCUGCACUGACGCUCAUGCACGAAAGCGUGGGGAGCAAACGGG
rnacentral:rRNA from 1 species